CUGGCGGCGUGCCUAAUACAUGCAAGUCGAACGGUCUUUCUAUGGAAGCUUGCUUCCACUGAGAAGAUAGUGGCGAACGGGUGAGUAACACGUGGGUAACCUGCCCAUAAGAGGGGGGAUAACAUCCGGAAACGGGUGCUAAUACCGCAUAGUUUUCUUGAUCGCAUGAUUGGGAAAGGAAAGACGGCCUUUGUGCUGUCGCUUAUGGAUGGACCCGCGGCGUAUUAGUUAGUUGGUGAGGUAACGGCUCACCAAGACGAUGAUACGUAGCCGACCUGAGAGGGUGAUCGGCCACAUUGGGACUGAGACACGGCCCAAACUCCUACGGGAGGCAGCAGUAGGGAAUCUUCCGCAAUGGACGAAAGUCUGACGGAGCAACGCCGCGUGAGUGAAAGAAGGUUUUCGGAUCGUAAAACUCUGUUGUCAGAGAAGAACAAGUUGGAGAGUAACUGCUCCAGCCUUGACGGUAUCUGACCAGAAAGCCACGGCUAACUACGUGCCAGCCGCGGC
rnacentral:rRNA from 1 species